AUUGAACGCUGGCGGCAGGCCUAACACAUGCAAGUCGAGCGAGCGGCGGACGGGUGAGUAAUGUAUGGGGACUGCCCGAUAGAGGGGGAUAACUACUGGAAACGGUAGCUAAUACCGCAUACUAUCGGAUAACCCAUAUGGGAUUAGCUAGUAGGUGGGGUAAUGGCUCACCUAGGCGACGAUCCCUAGCUGGUCUGAGAGGAUGAUCAGCCACACUGGGACUGAGACACGGCCCAGACUCCUACGGAGGCAGCAGUGGGGAAUAUUGCACAAUGGGCGCAAGCCUGAUGAAGCCAUGCCGCGUGUAUGAAGAAGGCCCUAGGGUUGUAAAGUACUUUCAGUGGGGAGGCGUUACCGGCAGAAGAAGCACCGGCUAACUCCGUGCCAGCAGCCGCGGUAAUAC
rnacentral:rRNA from 1 species